rnacentral:rRNA from 1 species
CCAAAUCGUCCUGAAGAUACUGGCCUCUUCUGAGUUCAAAAGCUAAGCAAGAUUGGUGCUGAUUAAUCCUUGGGUGGGAGGCCAUCAGGAACUACCAGGGG